UGUGGUUUCUAAUUGUGUGAAGUAGAUUUUGCUUUCCAAAAUUGAUCUACAUGAUCAAGAAAGUGAUCACGAUGAGGAUUUUGAUGAAUUGGUUGCUGAGUGUGAUGAGAUUGAGCUUCUUGAGAGGUUGUUUUUUGCUGCUGCUCAGUAGUACACCGAAGUUGUUGUACCGUAGCAGUAAAGGCUUAGACCUGUUGAACUAAGAGAUCAAAUUAUUGUGGAUCAACUGUAAUUGGAGGUUAAGCAUUCUCUUGAGCAUCUCCUGAAGAAGAUGGUACAUGUAAAGGAUGAUUUUAUGCCUUCUUGUUCAUCAAUUCUACCAAAAUUUACUAUAAAAAAAUUACUUAAUACUAUUAGCGAUGACUUAACCAUUGCUAAUACUAUUAGCGAUGACUUAACCAUCGCUAAUACUAUUAG
rnacentral:lncRNA from 1 species